AGGGACGGGACGCGGUGCAGUGUU
rnacentral:ncRNA from 6 species